GAUGAACGCUGGCGGCGUGCCUAAUACAUGCAAGUCGAGCGAACAGACGAGGAGCUUGCUCCUCUGACGUUAGCGGCGGACGGGUGAGUAACACGUGGAUAACCUACCUAUAAGACUGGGAUAACUUCGGGAAACCGGAGAUAAUACCGGAGAAUAUAUUGAACCGCAUGGUUCAAUAGUGAAAGACGGUUUUGCUGUCACUUAUAGAUGGAUCCGCGCCGCAUUAGCUAGUUGGUAAGGUAACGGCUUACCAAGGCGACGAUGCGUAGCCGACCUGAGAGGGUGAUCGGCCGCACUGGAACUGGGACACGGUCCAGACUCCUACGGGAGGCAGCAGUAGGGAAUCUUCCGCAAUGGGCGAAAGCCUGACGGAGCAACGCCGCGUGAGUGGUGAAGGUCUUCGGAUCGUAAAGCUCUGUUAUUAGGGAAGAACAAAUUUGUAAGUAACUAUGCACGUCUUGACGGUACCUAAUCAGAAAGCCCCGGCUAACUACGUG
rnacentral:rRNA from 1 species